GAAGGAGCAGAUAUUAAUUCAAAGCUCAAGAAUCUCAACCAUCAGCAGUGAAGGAACACACAAAAAUUAAACAAAAUCGUGGAGAUUGUGAAAUUUAAGAACUGGAUGAGCAUGUUGACUCUAAGGAUCAUGACUUCGGGCCUCUCUCUGAGAUUCCACCUAUGGCCUCAUGGGGGGUUCUUCAAAGCCAGCUGAUGAAAGAGGAAAAGCUGAAGCCUGAUUCAUGGAUGGCUCAAAUAUGCUGUUUUCUUGUAGAGAUGGAGCCCAGCCACCAUCUUGAAGACUCUACAAUGGACAAGACUUAACCAGAGGUACAAGUCAAUUUGAGUAUUCCAAGGAGGACUGAAUCAAAUACUUCUUGUGUCCUGCCUUACAUCCUCUUGCCUUUACUGUGACUCCAGCUGCAGCAGGUGUAAACAGUUCUGUGUGGGUUUCAAAUCCCUUUGUGUCGACUGUAUCUUGGCUCAAGAUUUAUCUUGCACUUUCUGCCAUGGAUAUUCAGAGUCUAUGGACCUUCUCAUCUCAGAGGCAACCAUAACCAAAGAGGUGAGAAGCUGAUGGACAAAUGCUUUGUCCUGUCAAUCCUUGGGUGGAAAAUUCUGACAAGCAUCCAGCCAUUCUAUGAGCAACUCAAUAAAGGCCCUGCAUUGUCUUUUCUCCUUUCUCCAUUUCACUCU